rnacentral:tRNA from 2 species
GCAAGAGUAACUCAGUUGGUAGAGUGGGUCUUUGAAGCAGAUCUGGUCGUCAGUUCGACUCUGACCUCUUGCACCA